rnacentral:misc_RNA from 1 species
GAUAAGAACGCAGCGAAAUGCGAUAAGUAAUGUGAAUUGCAGAAUUCAGUGAAUCAUCGAAUCUUUGAACGCACCUUGCGCCCUUUGGCUAUUCCGAAGGGCAUGCCUGUUUGAGUAUCAUGAACACCUCAACUCUUCACGGCUUGCCGUGAUGAGUUUGGACUUUGGGGGUCUUGCUGGCCUACGAGCCAGCUCCUCUCAAAUGUAUUAGCUUGCCGGUGUUUGGUGGCAUCACAGGUGUGAUAACUAUCUACGCUUGUGGUUUUCCACUAGGUAACCUUCAGCAAUGGAGGUUCACCGGAGCUCACAAAUGUCUCUCCUUGCCAAGGACAGAUUUUGACCAUUUGAUCUCAAAUCAGGUAGGACUACCCGCUGAACUUAAGCAUAUCAAUAAGCGGAGGA